ACUACUUGCUGCCGGCCGCUGCAGCCCGCGCCUGUCACACUGAUGUAUGACAGCAGCAGCGGCGCCGGCAGCAUAAUCAGAAGCUGAUCUGGUAUCAGGGCCCUUCCCUCUACUCCCGGCUCCUCCCCACACCUCCUGUCAAGAUAGAUAACAGCCAGGCAGCAGUGUUGCCCCCACCCCCUUCGACACAGCAGUCUUCAACAGCUGCUCCCCGCUCCCUCCCCUAUCCCCCUUCUCUCUCCCUCCCAUCAGUGUUAUUUUUGCGGCCUGGGCACUUUUAUUUUUUCAUUUGUCCUCAUAGCAAAGCCGGGCAUCCACCUCCCGACGCUCUGCUAAGCCUGCUUCCUGAUUAGGCAGGAACAGGAAGGUGGUGCACAACAUGUGACUGCACUGGAGGAUCGUUCAGACAUGAGGAGCAGCAGCCCAGAAGGUCCAGCAGCCAGCCAGCCAUUCCAUACCGAGGAGCAGUGAUUCAGCAGAGCUCUCUAUUUCUGGACACAUUCAUCACCCACGGCGCUGAAGACUGCUGAGGAACAGGAACAGGUCACGUGACCGCGAGGUACAGGAAAGUGAAAGUGAAACCGGACGAAAAGCUGCAAGACUGACAAGGAAGCAAGGUGACAGCGGAAGUUGGGAAUCGAGCACAGAAGAACAAGGUUAAGAUAUUUAUUACCUCUGAGAUGUACAUCCCAGGUUCUCCGAUCGAUGUCCAGGAGGAAACAAGUCUCACAUGAAUCUCAAAGUCUAUUCUGACGGCAGCCGUGUACCCGGAAAGGCUUUUGGUGGAUGAGAGAGCAUGAAACUGGAAGGCUUAUCUGACAGAGACGUUAAAGAUUAAAGAAUUCUUUGGCUGAUAUAGCUGAUAAGGGGCAAGAGAGGCCCUGAUAUCUCGUCAAUGCACGUAAUCUAUAUAAGUAUCAUGACAUCUUGGAUUACAAUUAGUAGAUGAAAAAUCAGAAAACCGCUUUGGAUAAACCUUGCAACAGGGAUAUUUUGCUGAAAAUAACGUUUUUUUAAAAACCUAGUACAGAGCAAAGAACAAUGCACCGCUGUUGAUGAUCCAGUAAUAGAUUAAAUCACAUUUUAUACACAAGAAAAAUAACAAAAGUUCAGAACACACUAGUUUUGUAUUUGUGAGGGCUGAUAUAAUGUAUAAAAAAGCUGCUUUAGAAUAGCUAGUGAUCUGUUGUGGAUCACAUGGAUAUAUUCCUAGCUGAUAAAUAUCAGUGGGCUAGGAUAAUUGGUGUUCAGAAAAGGCAUAUUAGACUAAUU